CCUACGGGAGGCAGCAGUGGGGAAUAUUGCACAAUGGGGGAAACCCUGAUGCAGCGACGCCGCGUGAGUGAAGAAGUAAUUCGGUAUGUAAAGCUCUAUCAGCAGGGAAGAAAAUGACGGUACCUGAGUAAGAAGCACCGGCUAACUACGUGACAGCAGCCGCGGUAAUACGGAGGGGGCCAGCGUUAUCCGGAUUUACUGGGUGUAAAGGGAGCGUAGACGGCAGUGCAAGUCUGGAGUGAAAGGCGGGGGCUCAACCCCCGGACUGCUCUGGAAACUGUACGGCUGGAGUGCAGGAGAGGUAAGUGGAAUGCCUAGUGUAGCGGUGAAAUGCGUAGAUAUUAGGAGGAACACCAGUGGCGAAGGCGGCUUACUGGACUGUAACUGACGUUGAGGCUCGAAAGCGUGGGGAGCAAACAGGAUUAGAUACCCCAGUAGUC
rnacentral:rRNA from 1 species